rnacentral:rRNA from 1 species
UGCCUACAAGCGGUAGGAGCCCCUACGUGGGGUGACUGCGUGCCUUUUGCAUAAUGAACCUACGAGUUGCCGUUGCUGGCAAGGCUAACCGGCUAUAGUCGGGUACCCGGAGCGAAAGCGAGUCUGAAUAGGGCGCAUAUAGUCAGCAGGGGCAGACGCGAAACCAAGUGAUCUACCCUUGGCCAGGUUGAAGGUUAGGUAACACUAAUUGGAGGACCGCAUCGGUAAGCGUUGAAAAGCUUUCGAAUGAGCUGAGGGUAGGGGUGAAAGGCUAAUCAAACUUGGAGAUAGCUCGUACUCCCCGAAAUGCAUUUAGGUGCAGCCUGUUGGAUGUUAUCAUGAGGUAGAGCGACUGAUUGGAUGCGAGGGUUUCACCGCCUAUCAAGUCCAGAUAAACUCCGAAUGCAUGAUAAUUGACCGAUGGAGUGAGGGCAUGGGUGCUAAGGUCCAUGUCCGAGAGGAGAAGAAUCCGGACCACCGGCUAAGGUCCCGAAAUAAUUGCUAAGUUGUAAAAACGAAGUCAAGAUGCAGAGACAGCUAGGAUGUUGGCUUGGAAGCAGCCAUUCAUUUAAAGAGUGCGUAACAGCUCACUAGUCGAGGAUUUUGGCAUGGAUAAUACACGGGCAUAAGCAAUUUACCGAAGCCGUGGGAUAUAAUAAUAUAUCGGUAGGGGAGCAUUCCAGCGACGUAGAAGGGAAAAGGGCGACUUUUUCUGGAGUUUCUGGAAAAGCAAAUGUAGGUAUAAGUAACGAUAAAGGGGGCGAGAACCCCCCUCGCCGAAAGACCAAGGUUUCCUGAUCAACGCUAAUCGGAUCAGGGUUAGUCGGGGCCUAAGGAUAAGCCGAAUGGCGAUUCCGAUGGAAGAACCGGUUAAUAUUCCGGUACUGAUACAGAGAGCGAUGUGGUGACGGAGAAGUGACAGUCCGGCCGUCUGACGGAAUAGGCGGUUAAAGGGUGUAGAUGUUGAUCGGGGUAGGCAAAUCCGCCCUGAGAGUCGAACCUGAUAGUACCCGGAGUACAUGUACGAAGGGAUAAGGACGUAAACCGGCUCCCAAGAAAACCCGCUAAGCAUAUUUCUGUGUUACCCGUACCGUAAACCGACACAGGUGGUUGGGUUGAGUAUACUAAGGCGCUCGAGAGAUUCGCGGUUAAGGAACUAGGCAAAAUGGUCCUGUAACUUCGGGAGAAAGGACGCCUGUCUCCGGACAGGCCGCAGAAACCAGGCCCAGGCGACUGUUUAACAAAAACACAAGGCUAUGCAAAAAAGCAAUUUGAGGUAUAUAGUCUGACACCUGCCCGGUGCUGGAAGGUUAAGAGGAGGAGUCAUCGUCAAGAGAAGCUCUGAAUUGAAGCCCCAGUAAACGGCGGCCGUAACUAUAACGGUCCUAAGGUAGCGAAAUUCCUUGUCGGGU